rnacentral:lncRNA from 10 species
AGGAGGAAGAUCACUCGGUCCUGUGCCGUCAGGUUCCAAACAUGACAGCACACAGCCAUGAAGCCCUGCCCCAUUCAGCCAGCCCUGUGCAAAGCUUUCCAGAUACAUGACCUUCCCUACUGCCUCCUGAACCCCACGGGACAUGUGGCAUUAGCCACACUUACAGAGCCUCAGAAAGGCUAAGCAGCUCGCCCAGUGACACACAGUGGAGGUGACAGGGCCCCAUCCCCAGCUUUAGGUCACGGCUUCCCUCCUCACUCAUACGAACAGCGGACACCACAUAGAACAGAGGCGCCAGGCCCUGCCCGAAGUGCUUUAAUGCAUGAUGUGCUUCAGCUCUGUGUCCCCACCCAAAUCUCAUCUGGAAUUGUAAUCCCCAGGUGUUGAGGGAGAGGCCUGGUGGGAGUGGAGGGAGAGGCCUGGUGGGAGGUGAUUGACUCAUGGGGGCGGUUUCCCCCAUGCUGUUCUCGUGAUAGUGAGUGAGCUCUCACAAGAUCUGGUGGUUUUAUAAGGGGCUCUUUCCCCUUUGCUUUCUCUUCUCUCUCUCCUGCCACCAUGUGAAGAUGGUCCUUGCUUCCCCUUUGCCUUCUGCCAUAACUGUAAGUUUCCUGAGGCCUCCCCAGCCAUGUGGAAAUGUGAGUCAAUUAAACCUUUUUCCCAGUC